AAUAAACGCUGGCGGCGUGCCUAACACAUGCAAGUCGAGCGAGAAAGCUCCUUCGGGAGUUAGUAAAGCGGCGAACGGGUGAGCAACACGUGAGAAUCUACCCUUUAGUGAAGAAUACCCUCGAGAAAUCGAGGCUAAUACUGCAUACGUCCCUUCGGGGAGAAAGAUGGCCUCUUUGCUAUCGCUAAAGGAUGAGCUUGCGUACUAUUAGCUAGUUGGCGGGGUAAAGGCCCACCAAGGCAAUGAUGGUUAACCGGCCUGAGAGGGUGUACGGUCACACUGGAACUUAGACACGGUCCAGACUCCUACGGGAGGCAGCAGUGAGGAAUCUUGCGCAAUGGGCGAAAGCCUGACGCAGCGACGCCGCGUGGAGGAUGACGGUUUUCGGAUUGUAAACUCCUGUUAAGCGGGAAGAAAGCCUUGUUUCUAAUACAAGCAAGGUAUGACGGUACCGCUAGAG
rnacentral:rRNA from 1 species